AGAGUUUGAUCCUGGCUCAGGAUGAACGCUAGCAGGAGGCCUAACACAUGCAAGCCGAGCGGUAGAGUCCCUUCGGGGGCUUGAGAGCGGCGUACGGGUGCGGAACACGUGUGCAACCUACCUUUAUCUGGGGGAUAGCCUUUCGAAAGGAAGAUUAAUACCCCAUAAUAUAUAGAUUGGCAUCAAUCGAUAUUGAAAACUCCGGUGGAUAGAGAUGGGCACGCGCAAGAUUAGCUAGUUGGUGAGGUAACGGCUCACCAAGGCAAUGAUCUUUAGGGGGCCUGAGAGGGUGAUCCCCCACACUGGUACUGAGACACGGACCAGACUCCUACGGGAGGCAGCAGUGAGGAAUAUUGGACAAUGGGUGCAAGCCUGAUCCAGCCAUCCCGCGUGAAGGACGACGGCCCUAUGGGUUGUAAACUUCUUUUGUACAGGGAUAAACCUACCCUCGUGAGGGUAGCUGAAGGUACUGUACGAAUAAGCACCGGCUAACUCCGUGCCAGCAGCCGCGGUAAUACGGAGGGUGCAAGCGUCAUCCGGAUUUAUUGGGUUUAAAGGGUCCGUAGGCGGGCUUAUAAGUCAGUGGUGAAAUCCUAUCGCUUAACGAUAGAACUGCCAUUGAUACUGUAAGUCUUGAGUAUAAUUGAGGUAGCUGGAAUAAGUAGUGUAGCGGUGAAAUGCAUAGAUAUUACUUAGAACACCAAUUGCGAAGGCAGGUUACCAAGUUAUAACUGACGCUGAGGGACGAAAGCGUGGGGAGCGAACAGGAUUAGAUACCCUGGUAGUCCACGCCGUAAACG
rnacentral:rRNA from 1 species